AGCAGGCGCGAAAAUUGCCCAAUCUCCGAUCGGAGAGGUAGUGACGAAAAAUACAGAGGCGGGACCUGUUACGGGCCUCCGACAUCUGAAUGAGUACAUUUUAAAUCCUUUAACGAGGAACAACUGGAGGGCAAGUCUGGUGCCAGCAGCCGCGGUAACUCCAGCUCCAGAAGCGUAUAUUAAAGUUGUUGCAGUUAAAAAGCUCGUAGUUGGAUCUGGGUGUCAUGGCUAUUCUCUGUGGUUUGCUUCAGUCACCGCAAUGGUGAUCUUGUUGCUUCCCGGUGGUUUAGUCGUGUUACCUUUCUGCCGUGUCUAUGUGAAUGGGUGCUGGCUUCGGCUGGCAUACUUGCGGUUGAUAUUGAUUUAUCGGCCGGAGUGGACGGCAAGUUUACUUUGAACAAAUUUGAGUGCUCAAAGCAGGCCAUCGUGCCUGAAAAGUCUUGCAUGGAAUAAUGGAAUAGGACUUCGGUUCUAUUUUGUUGGUUUUCGGAUCCGAAGUAAUGGUUAAGAGGGACAAACGGGGGCAUUUGUAUGGCGGCGUUAGAGGUGAAAUUCUUGGAUCGUCGCCAGACAAACUAAAGCGAAAGCAUUUGCCAAGGAUGUUUUCGUUAAUCAGGAGCGAAAGUCAGAGGAUCGAAGACGAUCAGAUACCGUCCUAGUUCUGACCAUAAACGAUGCCAACUGACGAUCCGCGUUAAGCCAUUGCGGCUUCGCGGGCAGUCCCCGGGAAACCUUUAAGUCUUUGGGCUCCGGGGGAAGUAUGGUUGCAAAGCUGAACUUAAAGGAUUGACGGAGGCACCACCAGAGUGGAGCCUGCGCUUAUUUGACUCACACGG
rnacentral:rRNA from 1 species